GUUGACCUCGGAUCAGGUAGGAAUACCCGCUGAACUUAAGCAUAUCAAUAAGCGGAGGAA
rnacentral:rRNA from 49 species